GAUGAACGCUGGCGGCGUGCCUAAUACAUGCAAGUCGAGCGAACGGACGAGAAGCUUGCUUUUCUGAUGUUAGCGGCGGACGGGUGAGUAACACGUGGAUAACCUACCUAUAAGACUGGGAUAACCUCGGGAAACCGGAGCUAAUACCGGAUAAUAUUUUGAACCGCAUGGUUCAAAAGUGAAAGACGGUCUUGCUGUCACUUAUAGAUGGAUCCGCGCUGCAUUAGCUAGUUGGUAAGGUAACGGCUUACCAAGGCAACGAUGCAUAGCCGACCUGAGAGGGUGAUCGGCCACACUGGAACUGAGACACGGUCCAGACUCCUACGGGAGGCAGCAGUAGGGAAUCUUCCGCAAAGGGCGAAAGCCUGACGGAGCAACGCCGCGUGAGUGAUGAAGGUCUUCGGAUCGUAAAACUCUGUUAUUAGGGAAGAACAUAUGUGUAAGUAACUGUGCACAUCUUGACGGUACCUAAUCAGAAAGCCACGGCUAACUACGUG
rnacentral:rRNA from 1 species